rnacentral:tRNA from 1 species
GGCUCAGUAGCUCAGUAGCAGAGCACUUGCUUAGCAUGUAAGAGGCCCUGGGCUA